UCCCUCUUAGCUCAGUUGGUAGAGCGCGUCACUAGUAUUGGCUUUCCAUCUAAUUCAGUCCUAAUGACGAGGUCAGUCGUUCAAGUCGGCUAGAGGGAA